rnacentral:sRNA from 1 species
GGGAGAAGCCGAACACGAGGAUCACACAUCGCUAGCACUGAUCUACGAUGCAAUCGUAGUUCUUCUACGUGGCCGCUGGCGGACAUGCUUCUCGUCAGAAGAAGAAGCCGACGCUGUUGAUAAUGAAUUAGUUAAAUGGCCGACGUUAAUGAUUGUCAAUGCAUUUGUAUCGAAUCUUCUUGCCCCACCAAAAGGUACACGGCCAGUGGCAAAAGAUGAAGAUGAUGGAGAUGAAGACUCGGAAGAUCGGACAUUAUUUAUGGAUCUAUUUAAUCCGCUCGGAGCGAUGAUUUGCUAUUCGGUUGGAGAGUUUAUGGAGAAUAUGGCUAC